UGGGUGGUAGUAUUCUGUAAGAUAACUUAUUUUUGCACAGAAAGGGAAACAUUUGGUCUAGCCAAAGUAUGUUACUGACCUUGGCGUGCAUUUGUGCGUGUGGGGUUAAGGUUUCUCAGUGCGAAUGGCUUUGGAUAUGGCAAUGUGCACAAACCCUGGAUAGGGGAGCAAAACAGCCAGUAAUGAUGUGAUUUGUUUGAAUGUGGAUUAAGGCUUAUAACCAGUAUAGAAUAUGAGAAACAACGGGUUUUGGUUGGACAUAUUACCGUUUUGUUAGAUGAAGGAAAACAGCCUACCAAAUACUGCUCAUUAGAAAGAGCAGUACUUCUUAGAUAACUAAUCUGCAUGCCAGCCAAUAUUAAGAACUUCAAGACAAUUCCUCGAGGAUUAACUAACAGCCUUAUUAAUUUGGUUUGGAAAAUUUAAUAACCAUAAAAGGUUGAACAUUUUUUUAAUGCAGAAUGAUGUUUGAAGUUUCCUACAUCACAACUCACUCACUCACCUAAAAAUACAUUUAAAAUAUGGAGGUCCCACAAUAUAGAAAAUGUACACUUGUGCAAUUCACUCUAAAUCUUAUAUGUAUCACAAAACUGCAAACUCUAGAACUUCACAGUUGUCUUCACUGUCACACCAACACAGCAAUUCACAUCCCUUUGUAAUAAGUGAUUUUCCGUACAUUCAUUUUGUCAUAUGAAUCCAAAUUAAUAUGGACGAGGA